AUGAAUGUUGGCGGCGGGCCUGAGAUAUGCAAGUCGAACGGGCUUGUGUGGAGCACAAGGGCAUAUAGCAAAUAGCUGGUAGCUUAUAGCUAAGAAAUAUAAAAUCUUAGAUCUAUACGCCAUUAGCAAUAAGCUAUUGGCUCUCGUGCUCUGCGCGAGCAAGUGGCGGACGGCUGAGUAACGCGUAGGAAUCUCCCCCUUUCUGGGGAAUACCCCCGAGAAAUCGGGGCUAAUACCCCAUAGUGUCGAGUUUUACUCGAUUAAAGAGCGUAACUGCUUGGAAAAGGAUGAGCCUGCGUCCUAUCAGAUAGUUGGUGAGGUAAUGGCUCACCAAGUCGAUGACGGGUAGCUGGCCUGAGAAGGUGGUCAGCCAGAGGGGGACUGCGAUACGGCCCCCACUCCUACGGGAGGCAGCAAUCAGGAAUAGUCGGCAAUGGGCGAAAGCCUGACCGCGCGACGCCGCGUGUAGGAUGAAGUUCUAACGAGCGUAAACUACUGUAGUAAGGGAAGAAAGUCGAGUUUAACUCGAUGUGACGGUACCUUACGAGAAAGGGGCCGCUAACUGCGUGCCAGAAGCGACGGUAAUACGUGGGCCCCAAACAUUAUCCGGUUUUAUUGGGCGUAAAGGGUCGUGUAGGCGGGCCGAUCAGUCUUGGUUUAAAUACUACAGCUUAACUGUAGAACAGGUCAAGAUACUAUCGGUCUCGAGUUUUCUUUAGGGAGAAUGGAACUUAAGGAGGAGUAGUGAAAUGCGUUGAUACCUUAGGGAACACCAGUGGCGAAGGCGAUUCUCUGGAAGAUGACUGACGCUGAGACACGAAAGCUAGGGGAGCGAAGCAGAUUAGAGACCUGCGUAGUCCUAGCCCUAAACGAAUGCUUGCUAGCUGCAUGAGAUCAGCUUUCAGCUGAUAGCUUAUGGCUUAUAGCUUAUUGCAAAUGGACGACAAAUCCCAUCUGCUAUUGGCUAUCAGCUAUUUGCUACCAGCUAGAAGCUGGUUUCGUGUGGCGAAGGUAACCCGUUAAGCAAGCCGCCUGGGGAGUACGGCCGCAAGGUUGAAACUCAAAGGAAUUGGCGGGGAGGCACACAACCAGUGGAACAUGUGGUUUAAUUCGAAACAAAACGAAGAACCUCACCAAGAUUUGACAUCCUAGCGUUCUAUUCCGUAGAAAUACGGGAAAUGCGCAAGCAGGCUAGGACAGGUACUGCAUGGCUGUCUUCAGCUCGUUCCGUGAGGAGUGCCCUUAAGUGGGACAACGAGCGCAACCCCUAUCUUGUGUUAUAUUUGUCACAAGAGACGGUCCCAGCUUUGCUGGGAAGGAAGGAGGGGCAGACGUCAAGUCAGCAUGGUCCUUAUAUCUUGGGCUACACACAUGUUACAAUGGAGGAGACAGCGAGUUUUGCAAGCGUGCAAACGCAAGCAAAUCUCACAAACUCAUCCUCAGUGGGGAUUGGGGUCUGAAACUCGACCCCAUGAACACGGAAUUGGUAGUAAUCGCGGUCAGCUAUACCGCGUGAUACAAUCUUGCCU
rnacentral:rRNA from 1 species